CGGGUUCUGCCCUGUGCGUAGUUUACUUUAUCCCUGGGGCGAUAAUCAUUCCGAAGGGAGCUGUCCCUGUCCGGGCCCUGGUCCGGAUAUUAUGGCGCCCACCUGUUUAACCAGGUUCCGGAGGAUACAACUGAAUUACGGCAGCGAUGGUCCCGUC
rnacentral:other from 1 species